GACGAACGCUGGCGGCGUGCCUAACACAUGCAAGUCGAGCGGAACGGCGAACGGGUGAGUAACGCGUGAGUAACUGCCCCCCUCUCGGGGAUAAAAGUUGGAAACGGCUGCUAAUACCCGAUAUUGGGGGUGGACUCGCGUCCUAUCGGCUUGUUGGUGGGGUAGUGGCCUACCAAGGCGACGACGGGUAGCCGGCCUGAGAGGGCGACCGGCCACAUUGGGCUGUGAUACGGCCCAAACUCCUCCUGGAGGCAGCAGAGGGGAAUAUUGCACAAUGGGGGAAACCCUGAUGCAGCAACGCGCGUGCGUGAUGACGGCCUUCGGGUUGUAAACCGCUUUCAGCCAUGACGCGGUAGUGGCAGAAGAAGCACCGGCUAACUACGUGCCAGCAGCCGCGGUAAUAC
rnacentral:rRNA from 1 species